rnacentral:rRNA from 1 species
UGGGGAAUAUUGGACAAUGGGGGGAACCCUGAUCCAGCCAUGCCGCGUGUGUAAAGAAGGCCUUAUGGUUGUAAAGCACUUUAAGCGAGGAGGAGGGUACUGGUAUUAAUACUACCAGGUACUGGACGUUACUCGCAGAAUAAGCACCGGCUAACUCUGUGCCAGCAGCCGCGGUAAUACAGAGGGUGCGAGCGUUAAUCGGAUUUACUGGGGGUAAAGCGUGCGUAGGCGGCUAAUUGAGUCGGAUGUGAAAUCCCCGAGCUUAACUUGGGAAUUGCAUUCGAUACUGGUUAGCUAGAGUGUGGGAGAGGAUGGUAGAAUUCCAGGUGUAGCGGUGAAAUGCGUAGAGAUCAGGAGGAAUACCGAUGGCGAAGGCAGCCAUCUGGCCUAACACUGACGCUGAGGUACGAAAGCAUGGGGAGCAAACAGG